GCCAUUUGUAACAGGCGUAGAAAUGCCCGCUACUAACACUAGGUGAAAUAAAAAUUGACCAAAAUAAUUGUAACUUACCUAAAAGUGCCCGCUACUAAAGAACUAAAAGGUUGUUUAUGUUGUAGUUUUCGCACAGCCUUACUCCAUUUUCUCUCUCCUCUCUCACUCCUUUUCUUCGAUAUACCCGCCUCUCCAUUUUCUCUCUCCUCCAUUUUUUCGCACAGCCUCACUCAGCACCACUUUCGCUCUCCUCCAUUUUCCCACAACUUCACUUCAUUCUCCUCCAUUUUUGCACAGCUUCGCUCUCCUCAUAGUUUCUGUUCUUGAAGAAAAGGAGGUGGAUAAUGACAAGAAAACCCUAGAUCCUGAUGGUGUUGAUGGGAUACUUUCGCUGUCGUGUAGGCGGUAUGUUCUGUUACAUAGGGUAGUGCUGAAUGUGAGCUGACCUCCUUGGGCCAUUUGCUAGUCAGGAGCCGAAUUGGGUUGUUAUUGCUUAAUGUGUGCUUAAUUAUAUGUCCAUGGAGGCUAUUUUGAUCCAGAUUUUGUGUUGUUUUUCAGAGUUAAUUUUGGGUGGAAUUGUACAGCCAGUUGAGGCCUAUUUCAGAGUUAAGGCUUGGCAACGUUUUUCACGCUGCCAAUAUCAUUUCCAGUGAUGGAUAUGCUAUGGCUUUCGCCCUAAAAUACAUUGUAUUGCCAGCAGUGAUUAUGAGGGAUUGUAAAUGUUUGGGACGUUGCUACUAAUCAGGUGGUAUUAAUAGUUCUAAUAAGCUGUUUGUCCCAUUAAGCUUGUUCUACAUUCUAAGGCUACUGGUUUGGUUUUACUUUGACUUUUGUCAGUAAUGCUAACUUCCCUGAUAACGGGCUUGGAGCAUGAUAACGGGCUUGGAGUGUGGACUUUUCGCGUACUGAACCUUCACUGAUGGAAUCUGGUGGGGAUGACUACAAGAUACCCUAACUUGAAGAGAUCUGAUCUACAAGAGGGGUUCGGAAAGGUUAACAAGCAGACUGAUAACUCCAUCAUUGAGCAGUUUUUGAAGGAAAAUGCAUGGCUGAUUUGGUUUAUUUGAGUUGUUCGGUGCUGCUGCUCUUUGCUGCUUAUAAAUGUUGUUCCCGGGCGCUUUUGUUGUUGUGUUUCUGUAGAAGGCUUAUAAUUUUUUUUAUUUGUAAUUAAUGUAUACUGCAUAAUUAACAUUAAAUUUGUUAUAAAUAGUAUAUGAUAUAGUUUGUAUAUCAAUUUCGCAAAA